rnacentral:rRNA from 1 species
GGUCAAGUGAAGAAGCGCAUACGGUGGAUGCCUUGGCAGUCAGAGGCGAUGAAAGACGUGGUAGCCUGCGAAAAGCUUCGGGGAGUCGGCAAACAGACUUUGAUCCGGAGAUGUCUGAAUGGGGGAACCCAGCCAUCAUAAGAUGGUUAUCUUGUACUGAAUACAUAGGUGCAAGAGGCGAACCAGGGGAACUGAAACAUCUAAGUACCCUGAGGAAAAGAAAUCAACCGAGAUUCCCUUAGUAGUGGCGAGCGAACGGGGACUAGCCCUUAAGUGGCUUUGAGAUUAGCGGAACGCUCUGGAAAGUGCGGCCAUAGUGGGUGAUAGCCCUGUACGCGAAAAUCUCUUAGUCAUGAAAUCGAGUAGGACGGAGCACGAGAAACUUUGUCUGAAUAUGGGGGGACCAUCCUCCAAGGCUAAAUACUACUGACUGACCGAUAGUGAACUAGUACCGUGAGGGAAAGGCGAAAAGAACCCCGGAGAGGGGAGUGAAAUAGAUCCUGAAACCGUAUGCGUACAAGCAGUGGGAGCAGACUUUGUUCUGUGACUGCGUACCUUUUGUAUAAUGGGUCAGCGACUUAUUUUCAGUGGCGAGCUUAACCGAAUAGGGGAGGCGUAGCGAAAGCGAGUCUUAAUAGGGCGUCUAGUCGCUGGGAAUAGACCCGAAACCGGGCGAUCUAUCCAUGGGCAGGUUGAAGGUUAGGUAACACUGACUGGAGGACCGAACCGACUACCGUUGAAAAGUUAGCGGAUGACCUGUGGAUCGGAGUGAAAGGCUAAUCAAGCUCGGAGAUAGCUGGUUCUCCUCGAAAGCUAUUUAGGUAGCGCCUCAUGUAUCACUGUAGGGGGUAGAGCACUGUUUCGGCUAGGGGGUCAUCCCGACUUACCAAACCGAUGCAAACUCCGAAUACCUACAAGUGCCGAGCAUGGGAGACACACGGCGGGUGCUAACGUCCGUCGUGAAAAGGGAAACAACCCAGACCGUCAGCUAAGGUCCCAAAGUUAUGGUUAAGUGGGAAACGAUGUGGGAAGGCUUAGACAGCUAGGAGGUUGGCUUAGAAGCAGCCACCCUUUAAAGAAAGCGUAAUAGCUCACUAGUCGAGUCGGCCUGCGCGGAAGAUGUAACGGGGCUCAAACCAUACACCGAAGCUACGGGUAUCACGUAAGUGAUGCGGUAGAGGAGCGUUCUGUAAGCCUGUGAAGGUGAGUUGAGAAGCUUGCUGGAGGUAUCAGAAGUGCGAAUGCUGACAUGAGUAACGACAAUGGGUGUGAAAAACACCCACGCCGAAAGACCAAGGUUUCCUGCGCAACGUUAAUCGACGCAGGGUUAGUCGGUCCCUAAGGCGAGGCUGAAAAGCGUAGUCGAUGGAAAACAGGUUAAUAUUCCUGUACUUCUGGUUAUUGCGAUGGAGGGACGGAGAAGGCUAGGCCAGCUUGGCGUUGGUUGUCCAAGUUUAAGGUGGUAGGCUGGAAUCUUAGGUAAAUCCGGGAUUCUAAGGCCGAGAGCUGAUGACGAGUUGCCUUUAGGCGACGAAGUGGUUGAUGCCAUGCUUCCAAGAAAAGCUUCUAAGCUUCAGAUAACCAGGAACCGUACCCCAAACCGACACAGGUGGUUGGGUAGAGAAUACCAAGGCGCUUGAGAGAACUCGGGUGAAGGAACUAGGCAAAAUGGCACCGUAACUUCGGGAGAAGGUGCGCCGGUGAGGGUGAAGCACUUGCUGCGUAAGCCCACGCCGGUCGAAGAUACCAGGCCGCUGCGACUGUUUAUUAAAAACACAGCACUCUGCAAACACGAAAGUGGACGUAUAGGGUGUGACGCCUGCCCGGUGCCGGAAGGUUAAUUGAUGGGGUUAGCUAACGCGAAGCUCUUGAUCGAAGCCCCGGUAAACGGCGGCCGUAACUAUAACGGUCCUAAGGUAGCGAAAUUCCUUGUCGGGUAAGUUCCGACCUGCACGAAUGGCGUAACGAUGGCGGCGCUGUCUCCACCCGAGACUCAGUGAAAUUGAAAUCGCUGUGAAGAUGCAGUGUAUCCGCGGCUAGACGGAAAGACCCCGUGAACCUUUACUAUAGCUUUGCACUGGACUUUGAAUUUGCUUGUGUAGGAUAGGUGGGAGGCUUUGAAGCGUGGACGCCAGUUCGCGUGGAGCCAUCCUUGAAAUACCACCCUGGCAACUUUGAGGUUCUAACUCAGGUCCGUUAUCCGGAUCGAGGACAGUGUAUGGUGGGUAGUUUGACUGGGGCGGUCUCCUCCUAAAGAGUAACGGAGGAGUACGAAGGUGCGCUCAGACCGGUCGGAAAUCGGUCGUAGAGUAUAAAGGCAAAAGCGCGCUUGACUGCGAGACAGACACGUCGAGCAGGUACGAAAGUAGGUCUUAGUGAUCCGGUGGUUCUGUAUGGAAGGGCCAUCGCUCAACGGAUAAAAGGUACUCCGGGGAUAACAGGCUGAUACCGCCCAAGAGUUCAUAUCGACGGCGGUGUUUGGCACCUCGAUGUCGGCUCAUCACAUCCUGGGGCUGAAGCCGGUCCCAAGGGUAUGGCUGUUCGCCAUUUAAAGUGGUACGCGAGCUGGGUUUAGAACGUCGUGAGACAGUUCGGUCCCUAUCUGCCGUGGACGUUUGAGAUUUGAGAGGGGCUGCUCCUAGUACGAGAGGACCGGAGUGGACGAACCUCUGGUGUUCCGGUUGUCACGCCAGUGGCAUUGCCGGGUAGCUAUGUUCGGGAAAGAUAACCGCUGAAAGCAUCUAAGCGGGAAACUUGCCUCAAGAUGAGAUCUCACUGGAACCUUGAGUUCCCUGAAGGGCCGUCGAAGACUACGACGUUGAUAGGUUGGGUGUGUAAGCGCUGUGAGGCGUUGAGCUAACCAAUACUAAUUGCCCGUGAGGCUUGA